CUUUGUAUUUUGUGCAAUCAAAAGGUUUUGUUUUGUAGUAAAUAAAAAGGAAAUAAAAAUAAAUUAGUGAAGAAAUGUCUAUUGCUCUUGUAUUGAGUAGAUGAAGUUGAGAAAUUAGUUCAAUGGCUACCAGACACGUCAGAGGAAGAAUUUAAUUUAAUCAAAAUCUUGUUGGAAAAAAGAACUAGAAACAUGUGCAAUGGCUGUAGACAACUUGAUUCUAAAUUGUCUUCGUGAAUUUGCAGAACAAGGUAUUUUCUAUUUCAUUUGUAACCUUAUGUGCCUUGCCUGUAAGUCAAGUUUAGCCUGUAACAAAGGCUUUAAGAAUUAAUUAGAGUGGAUAGAGAUAGAAAUACUCUUCUUGGCAACUAUGGAAAACCGCCAUUCUCUAAAUGCAUGGAUGAAUUAUAUUUGCUAAUGAACCGCCUCCACACCUCUGGAAGCACUCAACUUGCUUCUCCACACAAAGCCGUUCAUGUUUUGGGUUGGAUUUAGCAGAAGUUAAAUCAACCCAAGAACAUAUUGUUACUGCGCUUAAAAGGCUAGGAUGGAGAACUGAGCCAAAAAGUUUUUCGCUUUUAAGAGAUAAAUGUCACUCACUUGAAGAAUCUGAUGCUUUCAAAAACAAAGCAGCAACUAAAAUGAAGGUUACGGAUAAAGAAUGAUAAAGAGUGUAUAAUUGGGAAAUCAGUGCAAAAGUUUUAAAAGAUUCGGCGAAGCGAGUUUCGCUGCAGUAGUAUCAAACAAAUUUGGCGAGAGAUAUCGAUUCCAUUAAAUCUUCUGGAUAUCGAUUCUUUUAUUGGUGAACUUGGAGAAUUAAUGUUUUCACCUCGAACCGUAGAUAACCUGAAGGAUGUGACAUUGUUGUAAUGUAAAUUACAACAACAAUAUAUAUUUUGU